GAUGAACGCUGGCGGCGUGCCUAAUACAUGCAAGUCGAGCGAACAGACGAGGAUCUUGCUCCUCUGACGUUAGCGGCUUACGGGUGAGUAACACGUGGAUAACCUACCUAUAAGACUGGGAUAACUUCGGGAAACCGGAGCGAAUACCGGGUAAUAUAUUGAACCGCAUGGUUCAAUAGUGAAAGACGGCUUUGCUGUCACUUAUAGAUGUAUCCGCGCCGCAUUAGCUAGUUGGUAAGGUAACGGCUUACCAAGGCAACGAUGCGUAGCCGACCUGAGAGGGAGAUCGGCCACACUAGAACUGAGACACGGUCCAGACUCCUACGGGAGGCAGCAGUAGGGAAUCUUCCGCAAUGGGCGAAAGCUUGACGGAGCAACGCCGCGUGAGUGAUGAAGGUCUUCGGAUCGUAAAACUCUGUUAUUAGGGAAGAACAAAUGUGUAAGUAACUAUGCACGUCUUGACGGUACCUAAUCAGAAAGCCACGGCUAACUACGUG
rnacentral:rRNA from 1 species